UACGAAGGGGGCUAGCGUUGCUCGGAAUCACUGGGCGUAAAGGGUGCGUAGGCGGGUCUUUAAGUCAGGGGUGAAAUCCUGGAGCUCAACUCCAGAACUGCCUUUGAUACUGGGGAUCUCGAGUCCGGGAGAGGUGAGUGGAACUCCGAGUGUAGAGGUGAAAUUCGUAGAUAUUCGGAAGAACACCAGUGGCGAAGGCGGCUCACUGGCCCGGUACUGACGCUGAGGUGCGAAAGCGUGGGAGCAAACAGG
rnacentral:rRNA from 1 species